rnacentral:lncRNA from 1 species
GAGUGCUGUUCUUUUUUUUUUUUGGGACUGGCCGGAGCUGAAGUUUCCGGCAUUUCUCGUUGAAGAGGAAGCCACGAAGUAGCAGCCAAGGGCCUGUUUCGUUUCAUCGUUUGGAGAAGAUGACAGGUUUAUGGAACUGCAGCAUAAGUCUCCCACUUUUCCCUUUCUUUUGGUAAUUUGACCCUAGAAUUUUAGGACUUUAUAAUUUGACCCCAGAACUUAUAUUAGGCAUUUUCAAUUAGGUCCCUAGGGAAUAUUUAGUUGACUUUUAGGUUUAUUAACUUUUCAAUUUGUCAAUUGAGUUGUAAUUAAUUUCCAUUUUUCUCUUUUAAAUAAAAAAAAAAAGCACUAACUUAAAACUGUCCAAUCUGCCUAAUUGCCAGGUCUACGGCUGUUGUCCAAGGUGCCUUCAAGGUCUAAACAGGCUUCCUCCUCCAUUAGUACCAUGUCUCUGAGCAACUUUUCACUUUCAUUGCAAACCCACUUGCUCCAUUGCAUCGCUGCUCCCUUCUCCUCCUCCUACGAACCCUUCUUUUUCUUCCCCGCACCUUCUUCCUUUUAACUCUACUCUCCGCCACCACUGCUGCCACCUCCUUAUCCUCCUCCUCCUCCUCCUUUUUCUUAUCCUCAAAAUCUACUGGUGAGCUUCACUCAACCUUCUCUCACUGACACACUAUAAAGCUGUCAGUACUUUUUAUGUGUUCCCGGUUCUUAUUUUAUAUUCUUAUUUUAUAUUGUUUAACAUGGUUUGUCUGGCUUAUGGUUUCACAUUUUAUUAGGCUUCUGGUUACACGUGGGGUUUUAGAUUUUUUUAAUUUAUUGAUUAAUUUGAUUAAUCAGUAUUUUCUGGAGUUUGAAUUGAAGAGGUACUUGUGAAAAAAUUUAAAGAGGUCUGCCAUUUCCUUGAUGUUGGCAUUUGGGAUUUUGCUAUAGAUUGAUCUUUUGGUUCCUCUAUUGUGUUUAUCUACUUCUAUAUUAUUUUGGCUCUUGAAUUUUUCUGUCUGUUCUUUUCAAAAGUAGCCUUUUGGACUGGAAUGGCAAUAGAUUUGGUAGAUAUUACAUGAUAUUGUUUACUAAACUGAAACACUAAUUUGAUGUUCUUGAUUGUAUAUGACAAUUUUUUUUUUCUUUUUUGGUUUUGAAGAUUUAGUCUUUCUAAUCUGGUAUUUUUGUGUCUCUGUGCUCGAUGACCCUUUAAAUCAUGAGUUUAGUAUUGUAUUUGUUGGUUUGUGAAUCAUUUGAAUUCAGUUAAAAAGUUUGACCCUAUUAAACAUAUACCUCAUGCAGGGCAUGAGGGCAAACACUAGCAUUUUUGUUUCCCUUAAUGACACAGAUUGCUUCCCAAAUCCAAAAAUACAAUCUCUUAACAAUUUAAGCUUUUGGAGGAGUUUAUCAGUCAUGUUGACCUCAUAUAUUGUUGUUAUUCUUGGUUCACUAGUGUAGAAGAGCUAGUCAGAGAAAAAUGGGAGGAAAGAGAAAGGACUUCACCACCACCACCAGUGUCCAGGGUACCGAGGACGGAGGCGAGCAAAAGGUAAAGAAGAAAAAGGAGAAACUAGCGGUGGAUGGAUUGCUUCCGUCAACAAUAAAGAAUAAGGAGAAGAGGUCUGCUGUCCACGCCAAGCUUAAGCACCAGAAAAGGCUUGAGAAACGUAAGAGAGCCAAGGCUCGUGAAGCGGCUGAGCAGAGAGCUCUUGAGCUUGGCGAGGAGGUUUGCCUUUCAUCUUUUUUUUUUAAUUCAUUUAUUUAAAGACAUUCCUUUUCCUUAUCUUUCUCAUCAAAUGAAUGCAUUUGUUAAUCUGGAGGCUUUAGUGUUUGGUAUGUCCAAUCCGAUAUGUCUAAUAUAAUUUGCAAUUAGUAAUUUUUGGUCCAAUAAGUAAGCAAUUGAUUGAAACAAGAUUUGACUAUCUAAUUGUAUUCUGAUGGACGUUUUUCUAUAUACAAGCAGCCUCCUCCGAAGAAAAUCCCUCGCACAAUUGAAAAUACCAGAGAGCUUGACGAAACUAUUUGCAAGCCUGAUGAUGAAGAGGUAUCCGGUUAUCCAUCUUGAAUCUUCAAUUUUUUCCCAAGUUGCAGAUUGGGAAAUAAUACUUGGGAAAUUUGAUAAAGUGACAGAUUAUCCUGUAUGUCUCAUAUGUGCUGCUCUCGCCUUCUUCAUCUACAGCUAUUUGCUACAAAUUAUGCAGAUGAAUUUAGUGCGAUUCUGAAGCAGGACCGCCCUCCAAAGAUACUCAUAACAACUUGCCGCUUCAAUUCAACUGUACGUGCUAAUUCGAAUAUAUGUACCUAUUUGACUGUACAGUGUUGCCUUAGUUUCAAAUCAUGAUUAUUUGUUUUUCCCUGUUGUUAAAGGCAUGCUUUUUUUUGGAUAGAUGUUAUGUCUUAUUUAUUUCUUUCCCUACAGAGGGGACCUGCUUUUAUAUCAGAUCUACUCUCUGUGAUCCCAAAUGCACACUAUUUCAAGAGAGGAACCUAUGAUCUUAAAAAG